GGAGCACAAGGGACCAAGCCUGAGGAGGCAUCAGGCCUCAUGAGGAAAAUCAAAUAAGAUUAUCUUACAUUACAAAAUUUUCUUGCAUACUUUAUGCAACAGUGGAAACAACACAGGAUUGGAAUUAGAAGACCUGGUUUUAAAUACCAAAUUGUUCCCCAGAAUGAUCUGAUCCUACUGCUUAGCCUAUCUGGAUGUCAGUUUCUACAUCUCUAAAAGGAAGACACACAGAGGAGAAUGCUAUCUGAAGAUGGAGGCAGAGAUUGAAGUGAUGCAUCUACAGGGAUUGCUGGCCGCCACCACAAGCUAGAAGAAGCAAGGGAGGAUUAUUCCCUAGAGCCUUUGGAUGGAGCAAGUAGAAUCCAAGAAGACUCUAAAACCUCCAGUACUCAUGAAGAGAUGAGUUUGCUCAUUAUCAAUCUCAUUGAUCCUUAGCAUCGGAGCUGAGAGGGAGCCAGGAUGUUCAUCACACUGUGUAAAUGGCCUCUGUGAAGAACUUCCUGGGGUAUGGUCCAGCUUCCUGGAAUGGAAAAUUCUUCAAAUCAAAGGCAGAGGGUAAGGAAGAAAAUGAGAACUGAAACUGCUCCAAUCCCAGCUAGGAGAGAGGAAGAACUGUAAAGAAACCCCCCAAAUUACAUUGUAGAAUUAUUUUUCCCUAUGGUAUUAGGUUGAUCCCCCUUUCCUGGCCACCAGCAGCCCCUUUCCACACU
rnacentral:lncRNA from 10 species